GGGAGGACGGCGGCAGACGGCCGCGCGACGCGACCACAUCCAGGCGGCGGGCAGGAACCACCGGCAAGCUGGAGCAUCUACCGUCGACCAGCUAGCCACCAAGCCCCAGCGGCAUCCAUCUGCCGCAAGUCUCUUCAGAUGGAUGAUCAAGGCAGGAUGAUAGACUUUGGUAUUCAAGGCCAUGAGUUCAGUCAAAGGACUACAAUACCUUGUCCAAAUAUUGGUCACCAUCAGGACAAUGGACUUGAUGACCUGGAGUUUACUCAAGGAGCUACAGGACA